AGGUUGGGAUAGGCAGCAAUGCU
rnacentral:miRNA from 1 species